rnacentral:rRNA from 1 species
AUUGGACGCUGGCGGCAUGCCUUACACAUGCAAGUCGAACGGUAACGCGGGGCAACCUGGCGACGAGUGGCGAACGGGUGAGUAAUGCAUCGGAACGUGCCCAGAAGUGGGGGAUAGCCCGGCGAAAGCCGGAUUAAUACCGCAUGAGACCUGAGGGUGAAAGCGGGGGAUCGCAAGACCUCGCGCUUUUGGAGCGGCCGAUGUCAGAUUAGCUAGUUGGUGGGGUAAAGGCCUACCAAGGCGACGAUCUGUAGCUGGUCUGAGAGGACGACCAGCCACACUGGGACUGAGACACGGCCCAGACUCCUACGGGAGGCAGCAGUGGGGAAUUUUGGACAAUGGGCGCAAGCCUGAUCCAGCCAUGCCGCGUGCGGGAAGAAGGCCUUCGGGUUGUAAACCGCUUUUGUCAGGGAAGAAACGCUCUGGGCUAAUACCCUGGGGUAAUGACGGUACCUGAAGAAUAAGCACCGGCUAACUACGUG